GAUGAACGCUGGCGGCGUGCCUAAUACAUGCAAGUCGAGCGAACAGAUAAGGAGCUUGCUCCUUUGACGUUAGCGGCGGACGGGUGAGUAACACGUGGGUAACCUACCUAUAAGACUGGAAUAACUUCGGGAAACCGAAGCUAACGCCGGAUAACAUGUAGAACCGCAUGGUUCUACAGUGAAAGAUGGUUUUGCUAUCACUUAUAGAUGGACCCGCGCCGUAUUAGCUAGUUGGUAAGGUAACGGCUUACCAAGGCAACGAUACGUAGCCGACCUGAGAGGGUGAUCGGCCACACUGGAACUGAGACACGGUCCAGACUCCUACGGGAGGCAGCAGUAGGGAAUCUUCCGCAAUGGGCGAAAGCCUGACGGAGCAACGCCGCGUGAGUGAUGAAGGUCUUCGGAUCGUAAAGCUCUGUUAUUAGGGAAGAACAAGUGCGUAAGUAACUGUGCGCACCUUGACGGUACCUAAUCAGAAAGCCACGGCUAACUACGUGCCAGCAGCCGCCGUAA
rnacentral:rRNA from 1 species